CAGCUUAAACUGAUAACUAUUGGAGGGGGCCCUAGCCAUCUAUGCCCCUUGAAUUGUUGUUAAGAUAGUUUUGAGAUGUGAGGACUGGGCAGAAUGCCAGAAUAAUCGCGUUUCUUUCUUUUUAAGAAUAAAGAAUAAAGAACAGCUGACACUUCACAUCCUAGAAUCAACCUAAACUCAUUUCCUGUCUCUCUUGACGCCUUCUUUUAAUUU
rnacentral:lncRNA from 1 species